rnacentral:tRNA from 1 species
UUGGAGUAACUGAAAGCACGUCCGACUGGUAAUCGGAAGGUCCAGAGUUUGAAUCUCUGA